AUUGAACGCUGGCGGCAGGCUUAACACAUGCAAGUCGAGCGGGGGAAGGUAGCUUGCUACCGGACCUAGCGGCGGACGGGUGAGUAAUGCUUAGGAAUCUGCCUAUUAGUGGGGGACAACAUCUCGAAAGGGAUGCUAAUACCGCAUACGUCCUACGGGAGAAAGCAGGGGAUCUUCGGACCUUGCGCUAAUAGAUGAGCCUAAGUCGGAUUAGCUAGUUGGUGGGGUAAAGGCCUACCAAGGCGACGAUCUGUAGCGGGUCUGAGAGGAUGAUCCGCCACACUGGGACUGAGACACGGCCCAGACUCCUACGGGAGGCAGCAGUGGGGAAUAUUGGACAAUGGGGGGAACCCUGAUCCAGCCAUGCCGCGUGUGUGAAGAAGGCCUUAUGGUUGUAAAGCACUUUAAGCGAGGAGGAGGCUACUUUAGUUAAUACCUAGAGAUAGUGGACGUUACUCGCAGAAUAAGCACCGGCUAACUCUGUGCCAGCAGCCGCGGUAAUACAGAGGGUGCGAGCGUUAAUCGGAUUUACUGGGCGUAAAGCGUGCGUAGGCGGCUUAUUAAGUCGGAUGUGAAAUCCCCGAGCUUAACUUGGGAUUGCAUUCGAUACUGGUGAGCUAGAGUAUGGGAGA
rnacentral:rRNA from 1 species